rnacentral:lncRNA from 1 species
AAAGUUGGCGCGAAAAGUGUGAUUCAAAUGAGCACAAAGGUUAUGGAGAUAAUGAUGAAGUCAAAAUAGAAGAAAUGCACUAUACUUAUUGUCUGAGAUAUUUAUAGAUUUCUAUUGAUUAUUUUGAUUUUAUUGUAUAACGGGCUUGAGUUUCCUUAAUACUUAUAAAACUAUGUGAAAUCAUGUUAGGUUCAAGGGUAGACUCGAG